GCAGAAGAUAGGGGAACUUACAUCUGUGCGAUUAAACAGCCUAGAGGAUCUGAACCCUGCAAUGAAAAAUCCCAAAGCAUCAAUGUUAUGGUCAUGGUUGAUGGUGGUUGGAGCGAUUGGAGCCAGUGGAGCCAUUGUACCAAAAACAUCGGUGGCAUACAAUUGAGGAUUAGACGAUGUGUGAAUCCAAACCCACAAUCACG